rnacentral:rRNA from 1 species
AGUGAACGCUGGCGGUAGGCCUAGCACAUGCAAGUCGAACGGCAGCACAGUAAGAGCUUGCUCUUACGGGUGGCGAGUGGCGGACGGGUGAGGAAUACAUCGGAAUCUACUUUUUCGUGGGGGAUAACGUAGGGAAACUUACGCUAAUACCGCAUACGACCUACGGGUGAAAGCAGGGGAUCUUCGGACCUUGCGCGAUUGAAUGAGCCGAUGUCGGAUUAGCUAGUUGGCGGGGUAACGGCCCACCAAGGCGACGAUCCGUAGCUGGUCUGAGAGGAUGAUCAGCCACACUGGAACUGAGACACGGUCCAGACUCCUACGGGAGGCAGCAGUGGGGAAUAUUGGACAAUGGGCGCAAGCCUGAUCCAGCCAUACCGCGUGGGUGAAGAAGGCCUUCGGGUUGUAAAGCCCUUUUGUUGGGAAAGAAAAGCAGCAGGUUAAUACCCCGCUGUUCUGACGGUACCCAAAGAAUAAGCACCGGCUAACUUCGU